rnacentral:miRNA from 1 species
UUCCUCCCGGCCGGUGAGAGUGUACAGUCUCAUUGACCGAGAGGGAUUCCUCACGGCCGGUGAGAGUGUACACUCUCAUCGACCGAGAGGAAUCCCCUCUCGGUCGAUGAGAGUGUACACUCUCACCGGCCGGGAGGAAUCCCUCUCGGUCAAUGAGACUGUACACUCUCACCGGCCGGGAGGAA